rnacentral:tRNA from 1 species
GCCCUAGUGGUCCAACGGUUAAGCACUCAGCUGCUAACUGAAAGGUUGGUGGUUCAAACCCACCCAGUGGCU